UUUCAUCGAGCCCAGCCAGAGCGGCGCCUCCGGGCCCCGGCCCUGGCCGUAGGUGGCCAGCAACGCGCCGGCUUC
rnacentral:antisense_RNA from 1 species